AUUGAACGCUGGCGGAAUGCUUUACACAUGCAAGUCGAACGGCAGCACGGACUUCGGUCUGGUGGCGAGUGGCGAACGGGUGAGUAAUGUAUCGGAACGUGCCCAGCCGUGGGGGAUAACGUAGUGAAAAUUACGCUAAUACCGCAUACGAUCUAUGGAUGAAAGCGGGGGAUCGCAAGACCUCGCGCGAUUGGAGCGGCCGAUAUCAGAUUAGGUAGUUGGUGGGGUAAAGGCCCACCAAGCCAACGAUCUGUAGCUGGUCUGAGAGGACGAGCAGCCACACUGGAACUGAGACGCGGACCAGACUCCUACGGGAGGCAGCAGUGGGGAAUUUUUGACAAUGGGCGAAAGCCUGGUCCAGCCAUUCCGCAUGCAGGAUGAAGGCCCUCGGGUUGUAAACUGCUUUUGUACAGAACGAAAAGGUUUCUACUAAUACUAGGAGCUCAUGACGGUACUGUAAGAAUAAGCACCGGCUAACUACGUGCCAGCAGCCGCCGUAA
rnacentral:rRNA from 1 species